UACGUAGGCAGCGAGCGUUGUUCGGAGUUACUGGGCGUAAAGGGUGUGUAGGCGGUUGUUUAAGUUUGGUGUGAAAUCUCCCGGCUCAACUGGGAGGGUGCGCCGAAUACUGAAUGACUCGAGUGCGGGAGAGGAAAGUGGAAUUCCUGGUGUAGCGGUGAAAUGCGUAGAUAUCAGGAGGAACACCUGUGGUGUAGACGGCUUACUGGACCAUGACUGACGCUGAGGCACGAAAGCGUGGGGAGCAAACAGG
rnacentral:rRNA from 1 species